UUUGCUGAGAGUUUGAUCCUGGCUCAGGACGAACGCUGGCGGCGUGCCUAAUACAUGCAAGUCGUGCGGACCUUUUAAAAGCUUGCUUUUAAAAGGUUAGCGGCGGACGGGUGAGUAACACGUGGGCAACCUGCCUGUAAGACCGGGAUAACGCCGGGAAACCGGGGCUAAUACCGGAUCGUUUUUUCCUCCGCAUGGAGGAAAAAGGAAAGGCGGCUUCGGCUGCCACUUACAGAUGGGCCCGCGGCGCAUUAGCUAGUUGGCGGGGUAACGGCCCACCAAGGCAACGAUGCGUAGCCGACCUGAGAGGGUGAUCGGCCACAUUGGGACUGAGACACGGCCCAAACUCCUACGGGAGGCAGCAGUAGGGAAUCUUCCGCAAUGGACGAAAGUCUGACGGAGCAA
rnacentral:rRNA from 1 species